rnacentral:tRNA from 1 species
UGUCAAGGGAUAGGAAUCGAACCCACGACCUUCCGCUUACCGGGCAGAUGCCAUGACCACUAGGCUACCCUGUAC